rnacentral:lncRNA from 1 species
UUUUCUAGAGAGAUUGUUGAGAAGAAAUAUACUUAUUAACCUUGUUUUAUUAAGCAAACCAUAUAUGCUCUUGCAAAAUGUUGUCACUAUUUUAUGGUUAUCACCACCAAAUGAUGAUUUUAUCUCAGCUGAUUGACACUUCUUUCUUUGAGAGCUUACCAAGUCAUAAUAGGUUUCCAGAGUUAUAGUAGUUUCUAAAGUCUUGCCUCUUGAGC